UUACGGCCAUAUCACAUUGAAACAUCGGUUCCCGUACGAUCAUCGAAGUUAAGCAACGUCGAGCUUGGUCAGUACCCAUGAGUGACCACUUGAGAAUACCAAGUGCUGUAAG